CCGAAUAGAAAUCAAUGUGGCUUGAGACAUGAUACAAAACAAUAGCAAGUAAAGAAAUGGGCCAAAGGCUUGUGAGUCAGAUGGAUUCCAAUGGAAGAAAUCCAAAGUCCAAAUAGCCCUUAGAAAAUUGGAUGGGCUCGCAUGACUCCCUUGUUAGGUCCUUUUACAAUAUCUGACUCAAUUAGAGCAUCAAAAGCAUUAAUACAAAUCUGGAAUUUUACCAACACAAAAAAACUUUGCAAAUCACACUCCAACUUUGAUUACAGCUAAACAUAAUGUUGAAUUAAAGUUGCUAUCUACAGAUUCAGAACCAAGAAAACUUGUCUAACACAAUUAUUCAUUCACAACAAGAAAACUGAGUUCUAUUGCCUAUUCAUGUAAGGAUUCAACGAAAUUUCAGCUAAAACUUUUAACUAUUUACCACCAAAUAUGAUUGAUUCAGUUGAUAUACAAACUUUAAUAUAGCCAAAUUCAACAUUUAACAAUUGAAAUCACAAUAUAACACCUUAAGGAUUCAACAUUACAUGAAGCUUAUAUACUAAAUACAAUUCUAUAUCUAUUAAUAUUGCGAGGCAGGACAAUGGUUAACAAAAGAGAUAUACGAAUUAAUAGAACAUAGAAACCAAUUACUGAAAAACGAUGACUAAUUACACCAGCCUUAACACACAUGCAUCUUCAUAUCCACUUCACAUUCCAAGAAUUCAAAGGGAUACCUGGAUACAGCAAAGCAAAAACCAAAAAAUGUGUUUGAAAAUCAGCUUAUGGCAACAAGAAAAUAAAAGGCUCAGCAGCAAGGAACAACAGUGAUAAUCAACCAACAACCUCAAUAACCAGCCAUAUUUCAGCUUAGAAAACCAAAAAAUCCCAUGAAAGAUUCACUUCCAAACUUUUAGCCAAAAGAAAAUAAAAGCUCACAACUAGAUGGUUCUUUUUUCAGCAAUAUCUUUUAGCCAUUUUCUCUUUUUGUGUCCUAAAUCUCUACCCUAGAAAUGAGGAAAAUGAGCCUCUUAUAGAAAGGCUUUAGGGCAGCAUAAUCAGAUUUCUUCCUUUACUAUUACCCUUCCCCAAUUCCCUUUUUGUUCAUUUCAUACCCUAAAUUUAAGCCUGUUUGUUAAACCACCCACUUUCCACCUUCCUAGAAGCUUCCCAGAUAGUUAGGAAAGAUUCUUUCUAUUCAAUUCUCCUAACUACCCCUUAAAAGCUUUGAUAAUUACUUUUAACCUACCAUACAUUUGAACCAAUAUGCCCUUUGGGCUUCUGCACUAACAAACCUCAACAAUCUCUUUGGGCUUCUUGCACUAGCAAGCCCAAUUCCAAAUUUUGAGCAGACAAACUCACAAGAAAUCCAAACUAACCGAGUUCUGAACCCUACUAACAUCAGACUUUCUAAAGAAGCAGAAACAAAAAGAAAAGGAGCAAAAGGAAAGGAGAAAAUUAACAAGUACUAAAAAAGUGAUUAACUUUACAUUUUAAAACUAUUAUUACCAAAUUAAUCGAUUAAAAACUCAUAUGUUCUAAACCUAACUGAGAUAAAGAGGAAGAGAAAUAUACCAAAUAGAUCGAUGGCCCAGAGAUGAUGACAUCUGGCGAGAAGACCUCAGCCAAUGGUGGGAACUGUAACAUGAGCACUGACCAGAAUUUAUUCAACGACUAGUGCUCUGUGUCACAAUCCUCAUCAUGAGCCAAGAACGAAGAAGAAAUAGAAGCUUUAAAUAAAGGCACAUCGGAGAUUGCUACCCAGAAUUUGGCGACCAUGCACAAAUCGAAACUUUAGCCAAUUGGAUCCUUACAUCGAAACUAGCCGACUCACACAUGUUCAACAUCAAGAAGAGGACAGAUUGGAGGUGGGGGGGGGGGAUUAAACAAAAAGGGACGAAAAGGAUUUUAUUGCUAUUUUAGAUUUCUAAUUCAAGGAAGCUGAGUUAUUUUUGGAAAGAAAUAGCAGUGGAUUCGGAGUGAGGGGAUGAUAGGGGUUAUAUGGUCAAGAUUUGAGGGAGUUUGGAGACCAACCACCGCCACUGGCAAUUUUCGAUAGGUGGCGGACGACGUUGAGAUAGAAGGGGUAAAGGAGAUGAUGGACAUGGUCCUAG
rnacentral:lncRNA from 1 species